GAGGGUACAGCUGAGUGGCAGAGCACAUGCCUAGCAUGUACCAGGUCCUGGGUUCGAUCCCCAGUACCUCCA
rnacentral:tRNA from 1 species